CGUAGGGUGCGAGCGUUAAUCGGAAUUACUGGGCGUAAAGCGUGCGCAGGCGGUUUUGUAAGACAGAUGUGAAAUCCCCGGGCUCAACCUGGGACCUGCAUUGUGACUGCAAGGCUAGAGUACGGUAGAGGGGGAUGGAAUUCCGCGUGUAGCAGUGAAAUGCGUAGAUAUGCGGAGGAACACCGAUGGCGAAGGCAAUCCCCUGGACCUGUACUGACGCUCAUGCACGAAAGCGUGGGGAGCAAACAGGAUUAGAUACCCUGGUAGUCCACGCCCUAAACGAUGUCAACUGGUUGUUGGGUCUUUACUGACUCAGUAACGAAGCUAACGCGUGAAGUUGACCGCCUGGGGAGUACGGCCGCAAGGUUG
rnacentral:rRNA from 1 species